CACUAAGAAGCUAACAAGUAACAGCGCCAGACUUUUGAUCUGGAGACCGGUGACCACCGCCCACCCUUAGUGA
rnacentral:tRNA from 1 species